GCCACAGAGCUCCCAAUGGAUCAUUCUUGCCACGAAGUCAUGGCAUCGUUUGUAUUCGCUCGUGCCAAUUUCUGGCAUUCGCUAACAAUGUGCAAUACCGUUUCAUCCCUCUCACCACACAUUCUGCGUUUGUCGCAAUCGGUAGUGUUGUCUAUUCUGCAUUUCAUAGAGUUGGUUCUUGACGGUUGUUACUGAGCUGCGCAUACGAGUGCUUCUCUCUCUAUCUUCAGCUCACUCCACCUCGUCCAUAGCCAUCGGCCCUCUGCGUCUGUAUUGGCGUCCACAUCACUUGCAAACUAACCGUACGUUUCGUUUCCUUCCAUACUUUUUCUUUUUUUCUUCUUUUGUUCAUUUCUAGUAUAAAUUUUUCUUCAUUUACCUAAUUUACCGUGUUGAUUACGCCAGCAUUCUUCGUGUGUUUCAAUAGUGACUCCACGGUAUUUUUUAUAUUCUACACUAGGCUAUUUUGCUCUGCUUCGAUACAGUCUUGGCAAUUGAUUAAAGCUCUGCCACCCUUUCUUCAGGAGAGGUACAGCCUAUUGGUGUAAUUUUUAGGGUGGGAAGAUCCGUGUGCUGCUAACAUUUUCUGGUCUUGAUAUUAAUUUUCUUCAUUUCUCACUUUUGCCAUUUUAUAAUUCCUGUUCCAUAACGAAAUGAUGCUAUCACCCACGCAUUAGCUCCUUCGAUUACAAUAUUGCAUUACCACUUUUGUCUACAGCCUUUUUAGUCUGGAGGUAAUAUAUCGUUCUCAUUAAGAAACCUAUACAGUUCUUCUGCAAUUCCUCUUCACAGUAACUUCCACAUUAAUGGGAAGCAGGAAAUUGGUCUGUAAUCGUCAGCAGCGUUUCUCAUUGAUGCAUCCUUGAGGCACAACAACGUUCGUCCUUUCGUCAACCAGGGAAUCUACUUAGAUUUUGUCUAUUUUGGCUUUUAUACAAUUAGUCCUUCAUGCUUCAGUUUGUGCAGCUACUAACAAACUUUCUGUCUCCCUCUUCAGCUUUAUCUUCUGCUGCCAUAACCGUGUCUCACUUCUACUAUUUACUGAAACUAUGUCUGGGAAUCUUCAAUACAACACUUUCUCCUGCUAGUCAGAUAAUUUCUGUUCUUUGUUCUAGUUUUUAAGUUCCUUUUGUGUUUUCGUUUCCCUAUGACUUGCUGUGACACUAGCAGCUAUCAAUAGACUUUCUUCGUAUUAUUAUUAUUAUUAUUAUUAUUAUUAUUAUUAUUAUUAUUAUUAUUAUUAUUAUUAUUAUUAUUCAUUGUCCUACAUCAUCAUCGCUUUCAUAAUAGUUCUCAUCAUCAUCAUCAUCAUCAUCAUCAUCAUCAUCAUCAUCAUCAUCAUCAUCAUCAUCAUCAUCAUCAUCCCAUGAGAAUUAUGUUAUGGUUUUGAUUUCUAUCUUUUCAGAUACAAAACCAGCAACCACAAUAUGUUUACAAUUAUUUGACUACAGCAAUUUUUGUCACAGUUUUCUGUUUUUUACCAACAGGCAUUCUUGGAAUUAUAUUUGCAUCUCAAGCAAACUCAAUGGCCCAAAUUGGAAAUAUAGCAGGUGCAAAGGAAGCAAACGUUAAAGCAAGACUAUUCAUCAUAUUAUCAGUAGGUCUUGGUUUUGGUGUUACGCUUGCAGUUAUCCUGCCCUUUGUUGUAAUAGCUGCGACUUCUGCGAGUAUUGAUUAAGGAGAUUCCUAUUAAAUGAAGUGUGUUCCUUUUUUACAUACUCCAUUAAUUUAUUUUUAAAUAUAUUGAGAACUUCAGUCAAUAAACUGUAUAUUUAACACAAAUGAAGAAUUAAAAUAUUGAACAAUGAUAUAUAAGCUUAUCGGUGAAUUCUAUGGCUUCAGCCUGAUGACAAGAACCCAUAAAGCAGUAAAACUAUGAGAGUAUAGAGAUAUACCUGAAAGACUUGUACCAUUUCUUCUCUCCAAUUUUAUUCCCCACGAAAGCAAUGGGUGAUGUUGUUUCAUUAUGUCAGGAACUAUCAUAUUUGAGAAUAAUUUUAUAAGCGCAAUUGUUAAAUAAAGCAAACUUUUAAACUGUUUUGAAAA